GGGAUUGUUGCUCAGUGGUAGAGCGCUCACCUAGCAUGUGCGAGGCCCUGGGUUUGAUCCUCAGCACCA
rnacentral:tRNA from 1 species